rnacentral:tRNA from 1 species
AGGCCCAUAGUGUAGAGGUCAAUCAUCUAAGUUUUUGGAAUUUAGGACGGAGGUUCGAAUCCUCCUGGGCCUACCA